rnacentral:tRNA from 8 species
GCGGACGUGGCUCAGUUGGUAGAGCACAACCUUGCCAAGGUUGGGGUCGCGGGUUCGAAUCCCGUCGUCCGCU